UUGACAGAUGUGAGAAGCUGAGUUUUUGUUGAGUCCUCAGAAGAAAAACGAGGUCCUCUUCCCUGAAGCCAAACCAUCAAAUGGUCCAGGGACCAUCUUGUUCUGAGGAGAGGAGAGGAGGAGAGGAGAGCAUACAGGAGAUGGACACCAGCAGGCCCUGAUCAUUGCCAAAAUGUCAGCAGGUCCCUGUCCUUCCAGUUAGAGGUGAAUUGUUACUCUGAAAAUAUUUCAUCCUUAAUUCCUGCUGCAUGAGCCGGAGCAUGCAUCUCCAUGGGGUUAUGCUCUUUCUAAUUUAUCUGCUGUCCCAGCAUCCAGCAAAGCAUUACUCAGCCAACUGAUGAAUGAAGUAAGGAACGGUCUGACAGCCAUGUUGAAUUUGGAAGCUGUCUUGGGGGAAAACUUGGAAAUCAGGGGACAUGCUUCUCAAAUGUCCCUAACUCAAUAGGAUGCCAUUAAUCUGAGUUUCAGUAUUUCCUGAUUCUUUCACCCAUUUAAUGUUGCUGUUGCUUAUGUGGUGGAAGAAUAACAAAUUAAAAGUCAUGAAGGUGAGGAUGCAAAAAGGAUUCACUACAGUUUUGUGUACAACUGGUGUUUAAAUGUGUGAAUUCUUUCAUUCAAGACAGUGGUUGACAUAUAGAGCAAGGAAGCACUGGUGCAGCAAGCGAGUAGACUAGCACUGAUAAAGCAGCAAUUUUUGAUGCCUUCCCUUUCUCCAGGAAGCUCUCUGUACCACCCCAAAAUAUGUGCCUGAGGGCUAUAAAACCCUCAGGGGCAUAUUUUCUGACGGCACAGAGGACAUUCUGGGGAAGAAUGUCCUCCGUGCUUCCCUGCUGCACCAGUGCUUCAUUGGGAAGUUAUGUUAGUCUGCUUUCUUGCUGCACUGGUGCUAGCAAGUGAAAUCCAGCCCCAAUAUAAUUAGAUGUUGAUAUGUGCAAAUUAAUACAUAUUGGACAAAACAUGACCCUAAUAAUGUACUCACAGUAGUGUGCUUUAAAUUAGUAGACAGAAAUCAGGGAAGAGAUCUGAUGCUAUUGUGGA